ACCAACUGACGAGUCCCAAAUAGGACGAAACUCACGCCCUGGAU
rnacentral:hammerhead_ribozyme from 1 species